GACGAACGCUGGUGGCGUGCUUAACACAUGCAAGUCGAACGGGAUUUCGUAAACAGACGCCUCGGUGGAAGAUUACUAAUGAGAGUGGCGAACGGGUGAGUAACGCGUGAGCAACCUGCCUAUGACAGUGGGAUAGCCUCGGGAAACCGGGAUUAAUACCGCAUAAAAUCGUAGAAACACAUGUUUUAACGGUCAAAGAUUUAUCGGUCAUAGAUGGGCUCGCGUCUGAUUAGCUAGUUGGUGAGAUAACAGCCCACCAAGGCGACGAUCAGUAGCCGGUCUGAGAGGAUGAACGGCCACAUUGGAACUGAGACACGGUCCAAACUCCUACGGGAGGCAGCAGUGGGGAAUAUUGCACAAUGGGGGAAACCCUGAUGCAGCGACGCCGCGUGAACGAAGAAGGUAUUCGUAUCGUAAAGUUCUGUCCUAUGGGAAGAUAAUGACAGUACCAUAGAAGAAAGCUCCGGCUAAAUACGUG
rnacentral:rRNA from 1 species